rnacentral:lncRNA from 1 species
GUAGACAUAUGGUGGUGGAGGUGAAGGAGAGGGAGGAGGUGGAGAGUUGUAGACAUAAGAAAGGGGUAGCGAUGCAUAUGGUGGUGGAGGAGAUUUGUAAACAUAUGGAGGCGGUGGUGAAGGAGAGGGAGGUGGAGGAGAUUUGUAGACAUACGGUGGAGGAGGUGAGGGAGAAGGAUGUGGUGGUGACUUGUGCACAUAAGGCGGAGGUGGUGAUGGGGAUGGUGGUGGUGGGGACUUGUAGAUGUAAGAAAGGGGUAGUGAUGCAGAUGGUGGAGGAGGAGACUUGUAGACAUAUGGAGGUGGUGGUGAAGGAGAGGGAGGUGGAGGAGAUUUGUAGACAUAUGGUGGAGGAAGUGAAGGAGAAGGAGGUGGUGGUGACUUGUAAAUAUAAGGUGGAGGUGGUGAUGGGGAUGGUGGUGGUGGGGACUUGUAGAUGUAAGAAAGGGGUAGUGAUGCAGAUGGUGGAGGAGGAGACUUAUAGACAUACUUAGGUUGUGGUGAUGGAGAGGGAGGUGGAGGAGAUUUGUAGACAUAUGGCGGAGGAGGUGAAGGAGAGGGAGGUGGUGGUGACUUAUAAAUAUAAGGUGGAGGUGGUGAAGGAGAUGGUGGUGGUGGAGAUUUGUAUGUAUAUAAUGGAGCUAAUUUGGGGUAGAGGUGUGCGUGUUUUGCAUGAUGUGGGGUGUAUUGUGAUUGUGGAUAUUUUGCAUGUUUUGGAGGAGGUGGAGAUUUAUAUGUAUAUAAUGGAGUUAAUUUGGGGUAGAGGUGUGAGUGUUUUGCAUGAUGUGGGGUAUAUUGUGAUUGUGGAUAUUUUGCAUACUUUGGAGGUGGUGGGGAUUUGUAUGUAUAUAAUUGAGUUAAUUUGGGGUAGAGGUGUGAGUGUUUUGCAUGAUGUGAGGUGUAUUUUGAUUGUGGAUAUUUUGCAUACUUUGGAGGUGGUGGGGAUUUGUAUGUAUAUAUUGGAGUUAAUUUUGGAUAGGGAUGUGAAUGUUUUGCAUGUUCAGGGGUGUACUUUGAUUGUGGAUAUUCUACAUGCUUUGUAGGUAAUGGAGAUUUGUGUUUAUAUAAUGGAGUUAAUUUAGGGUAGAGGUGCGAGUGUUUUGCAUGAUAUAGGGUGUAUUGUGAUUGUGGGUGUUUUGCAUAUUUUGGAGGUGGUGGAGAUUUAUAUGCAUAUAAUGGAGUUAAUUUGGGAUAGGGAUGUGAAUGUUUUGCAUGUUUUGGGGUGUACUUUGAUUGUGGAUAUUCUGCAUGCUUCGUAGAGAGUGGAGAUUUGUGUUUAUACAAUGGAGUUAAUUUGUGAUUGAGGUGUGGGUGUUUCGCGUAAUAAUAUGGGGUUUUUUGUGACCGUGGAUAUUCUACAUGCUUUGUAGAUGGUGGAGAGUAGUUGUUUGGCUGGGAUGCAUAAUAUGGUUUAUAAGCAGCAACAUUGAUACUAAUACUAAUUGCAAUUAGGCAAAAUGCAAUUGCAUA